UACUCCAUUCUGAGUUAAACAGCCAAUUUUAGUACUGCAAAUUGCAAGUGAGAAUCCACUUACAGUUACUGAGGUUUGAUUUUGUUAUUUUAACAUUUGCCUGUGGUACAGGUGCUUUGGGAAGGACCCUCUGCUGCUGGUUCUGAUGCUCCUGGAAUGAUUUCUGUCUGCAAACACCACUAUGUGUCUUGCUGUUGAGAGUUUGCUGCUGGCUUUGAGGUAUGCGUCCAAAAUGAUUGCUCUUCCAAAGAUGAGAAACCUUCUUCACCUGCAUACAGUUAUCAUCAUCCACAGUCUACAUAAUUAAAUUGUAUUCCUUUUUGAGCAGGUGAGAAGUCAGGGAAAACAGGCCAGAAGUGCAAAUGUAUUUAGGGUUCUGUUUUCUGUUGGAGGCAUAUGAAAAACAAUACAAAGCAG